rnacentral:rRNA from 1 species
AUGUUCAAUCAUACCAGCACUACUGCACAAAAUCUCAUCAAAAAUCCAAAGUCAAGUGCGCUUGGGCGAGAGUAGUACUAGGACCCUUGGAAGUUCUUGUGUUGCACUCC